GCGGGGAUUUUGAUGUCUACAGUUGACAUGAAGGAUGAAUCCAAGGGCCGUCUCAUUCCAAAAGCGAAGAUUGAGGUAUUGCUGGGGAAGACUGAGAAAUUUGAUGAUCUGAUGGUUGUCAUUGCUGCCAAAGGGAGGCAGUUGGAGACAACAAAGCAUGAUGGCAAACCAUAGCUCUGGAGUUCCAUCAUAUUCUGAUUUUCAUUUCUUUUUUCCUCCUGGUGUCCUGUUUAAGUGAUAGAGGUUAGGGAAUUUUCAAGUAGAGCUGCUGCUGUCAUUAACUGCAAGGAGCAGGGUUGAGAGA